CUAACUAACGAUAAUCACCGAUAUAUAAUGAGAAUCGUUGAAUCAAAAAUAAUAAGUAAUUAAAUAAAAUUUUGAGACAAACACCUGGAUUUAUAUGGAAAACCAAAUCAGAAAAAAUCACGGAUGAAAGAGACCACGGAUCCCCUAGUGAAAAAUGAAGAUAAUGAAUAAGGAGAUAUACAACUGAAGGGGCUGAUUUGGGUAAAUUGAGAAAUCUAGGGUUUUGAAUAAAACUCUCUUUCUCUCUGUUUUGGUGCAGAAACUGAUGGGGAUUCAGGCGGCCUCAUCGCUCAUCGUAGGGUCUCAGAGGCAACGAGCAAACCGCUCGCCUCAGCCAUUCACGCGGCUUCAAGGCGGAGAUGAAACAUCAAGCGAGCUGCUUAAACCAACCAGUGCAUCAACCAUCUGAUCCUAACCCUUCCAUGCGACUUCGAUUCGAUUUCGUGAGGCAGCGACCAAAACGCCUGGACAUCCAAAAUUAGAAUCGCUGCUAUUCUGAUUCUUCGCUGUAUGUUUCAAUCGACUUGAAGUGUCCUCGUGAGGCUAAGAUGAGACCGACUGGUUUUUCAGUUACAAGAUGGAUGCUGCUCCUGUCCUAAUAGAAUGAAGUCAAGUGUUUUGGAAAUGCCAUCUUUUGGUGGCUGGAUAUGCUGAAUAGCAAAGCUUUUUGUAAACCAUAUCUGCAGUGGAUCGUCUUACUUGACUUUUUUUUUUCUCAGUUUGUAUAUACUAUGAUCUACAAUCUAAGGUUUUUUUUUUUUUAAUUUUUUUUUAUUUUAACAACUUUAUUAAUUCCAUAAGAAGAUUUACAUAGAUGUAGCAGGGUAAACAAGCAACAAGUUGUGCCGCAAUCCCUUUUUGCAUGGCAAAACUUAUUCUUUUAAAAACAUCUAUAGAAGUUAAUUAUAUGCCCUGCAAUGUGGAAUGGGCAUCCAUGGAACCAAAAUAUGGCAACAAUUUUAUUUCUGGAAGGAAAGAGACAUUUGAAUCCAAAGGGAGAAAGAAAGUUUUGUUCCAAAUGGACCAAGUAAUGAUUGAAGCCAAUACCAUUUGCUAAAAGUGUCACAAAGUUGGGAGGAUUUGAAAAUUGAAGAAUUGAGGUUGUGUUGUUAUUUUGUGCAUCUAUGCUACCACUUCAUCUUUUGAGUUAAACACGACAUUACAUGGUGA